GUAUUUUAAUCAACCUACGAAAGCAUAUUGCUAACGCAUAAUUUCUAUGUGUUUGAAACAUAUUUUCACAAAAAUUCAAAAAUUCUUUUCACCUAUUUCACGUAUAACGAAAUAAAAUAAAAUUGAAAAUAUAAUUAAAUUCGCCUUAUAAUGAACUCUAGAAGUUUCAAUUUUUCUUAUUUUUUUUUUUUUUUUUGGAAUAAUAAGUUAACAAAUUAACACUCUUUGCUAAUCACUGAAUACAAUCUCGAGAAUAGCUUUUUUUUCCCCAGUUUGUUUUCAUAAUCUUAUCUCUUGUUAAAGUGUCGUCAAGAAUUGCGUGUUUUAUCGUCUUAAAAAUUAUUAUACGCAGGACUGUGAACCUGUGAAUCAUAUUUUUGACAGAAAACUUAAAAAAAAUUUGAUUGAUUUUUCAUCAGUGAAAUCGUAAAAAAAAAGUGAAAUAAAUUUAAAUAUUAGAAAAAUCAGAAGUGAAACAAUUAACAAAAAGGAGGCCAGAAGGAACUUGUUUCAUUUGAAUUUUAAAUAAAAAAAAAAAACUAAUUAAACUUCAAUGGGUGCUCAUUAUUGACUUUAGAAGCAUGGCAAAGUACAUUUUUUGAGAAAUAAAUGUGUGUGUCAACAUAUUAUAAGGAAAAUGAAACUACAACUAAUAUAGGAAAAUAAUCAUCUCAACUAAAAUUAUGAUGCUGAAGUAAUCUUACACAAAAAAAAAAAAAUUUGCAAAAAGAAAAAAGAAUUGAAAAAAGAAAAUUAAAAUAGUAUAGGCAAAAAAAAACUGCAAUGCGCACCCAAAAAUCAGCAGUUGAAUCAUCCCUUUGAAGAAGUUCCUCGAAUGGAAUGCAAC